rnacentral:tRNA from 1 species
GGUUGGCUCCUUGGUAGAGCGCUUGCCUUGCAUGCGUGAGACCCUGGGUUCGAUCCCCAGCACCA